rnacentral:rRNA from 1 species
AUUGAACGCUGGCGGCAUGCUUUACACAUGCAAGUCGAACGGUAACAGGCCGCAAGGUGCUGACGAGUGGCGAACGGGUGAGUAAUGCAUCGGAACGUGCCCAGUCGUGGGGGAUAACGCAGCGAAAGCUGCGCUAAUACCGCAUACGAUCUGCGGAUGAAAGCGGGGGACCUUCGGGCCUCGCGCGAUUGGAACGGCCGAUGUCAGAUUAGGUAGUUGGUGGGGUAAAGGCCCACCAAGCCGACGAUCUGUAGUUGGUCUGAGAGGACGACCAGCCACACUGGGAGUGAGACACGGCCCAGACGCCUACGGGAGGCAGCAGUGGUGAAUUUUGGACAAUGGGCGCAAGCCUGAUCCAGCAAUGCCGCGUGCAGGAAGAAGGCCUUCGGGUUGUAAACUGCUUUUGUACGGAACGAAACGGCUCUGGUUAAUACCCGGGGCUAAUGACGGUACCGUAAGAAUAAGCACCGGCUAACUACGCGCCAGCCGCCGCCGUAA